GAUCAUGGCUCAGAGUGAACGCUGGCGGUAGGCCUAACACAUGCAAGUCGAACGGCAGCACAGUAAGAGCUUGCUCUUAUGGGUGGCGAGUGGCGGACGGGUGAGGAAUACAUCGGAAUCUACCUUUUCGUGGGGGGAUAACGUAGGGAAACUUACGCUAAUACCGCAUACGACCUGGUGAAGCAGGACGUCGGGCCGUUCGCGCGGAUAGAUGAGCCGAUGUCGGAUUAGCUAGUUGGUCGGG
rnacentral:rRNA from 1 species